AGCAGCCGCGGUAAUUCCAGCUCCAAUAGCGUAUAUUAAAGUUGUUGCAGUUAAAAGCUCGUAGUUGAAUUUCGGGAUUGACACAUCGGUCGUGCCUUAAGGGGUAUGAACUGGUGUAGUCAAUUUCUCACCUUCUGGAGAACCGCGAUGCCCUUAAUUGGGUGCCGCGGGGAACCAGGACCUUUACUUUGAAAAAUUAGAGUGUUUAAAGCAGGCAUUUUGCUUGAAUACAUUAGCAUGGAAUAAUAAAAUAGGACGGCAUGAUUCUAUUUUGUUGGUUUCUAGGAUCACCGUAAUGAUUAAUAGGGAUAGUUGGGGGCAUUAGUAUUCAAUUGUCAGAGGUGAAAUUCUUGGAUUUAUUGAAGACUAACUACUGCGAAAGCAUUUGCCAAGGAUGUUUUCAUUAAUCAAGAACGAAAGUUAGGGAUCGAAGACGAUCAGAUACCGUCGUAGUCUUA
rnacentral:misc_RNA from 1 species